UCUUGGAUUUGCGGGAAUCGUAAUUUUGCAGACGGUCGUUAUGUCACCUCACCACAUGCUGCAACUGACCAGGUGGAGCUGGACCUAAACAUCGCUUCUACGGCACUUGUGAUUAUCUUCAGCCGAUAUUAUUUUGCUUGGCACACUCAUUUGGCUCAAGCAGAAUGGUAAUCAAUCCUCCUCACGUUCCAUAAUCCCAGCAAUAAAAGAUACUUUGGACAGUCCAUCAUACCCAGGACUACAGUAUCCUAGAUGCCAACCACAUAAUGGAAGAAAUGAAGAAAAAACAACCAAAUGUGGCACUCUCAUUUCACAAAUGAUGGACCAAUCAUUCCCACUAUGCAGACAAGAAAUUCUAAAAAACAAGGGCCUGCUAUACAGAACAUGGUUAAACGAUGGCCAGCACUUUUCACAGAGAGACAGGUGUUUGCUGAGUUUAAUAGAAUCGCCAGUAAGAAUCUUGAGGGAGACUUGAGGCUUUGGACCAGUAUUCCCCACGUUUCAUCAAACUUUUCUAAACAAAAAGGGAAACUUAAGGACUGAGUUGGCCAGAAACUCAAGGAGCUGAUGCAGCACAUGAGCUGGCUGACACCAGACGUGACAGUACUUCGCUCAUUUGUCCUCAAAGGCAUGACGACUCCAGUGAAUUCUACAAGACCUGCUCUGUAAGUACUUGCACAUAAAAAAAGUUUGGUCUGCAUGAAUAUAAAACUAUACCUGCAACGCAUCAUCAUAUUUCUCAUUCUGAAUAAACGUGGCUGAAACCAGUCGAUCGCAAGAGCGGUAGAUCGCACAUAAGUUAACUGCUGCUCCACGCGCGAAAUUGGCAUUAUCGUCUUUAAUUGUGAAACACGCAAGUCUUUUGAGUUGUUGUGCCUUUCUUCUCAAAUGUGUUUUUAUAAAUCUUAUGCCAGGCCGCUGCAGCUCAGUCGUCUAACUUCCAAAAUUCACCAGGAUGUGCAUUCUUGCCUUCACGCAGGAGCUGAUCCACGGUGUGUGUGUAUGUGUGUGUGCGCGCAUGCGUAAGCAAACGAGAGAGAGAGGGGCAGCGUAGUGCUGAUUUGUAUGCUUCUGAUGCUGUUGUCAUUUUCUAGUAGAAGAGCCCGCGGUAGGUAGAAAUUACCAGAGCCAAAUAAACGAUUUACUUGUAUAAAAAAAUACAUUUAGCAGUUUGGCUUUCCUAAGGGUCUAUAUAACCUGUUCUGAAACGAGUCUAUUAAAAUUAACAUAUCGCAAUACAUACCGCAAGAGGCCACAAUGCAUAUCGACAUAUGGAUUUUUGGCCAUAUCGUCCAUCCCUACUCGUGAUGCGCCUAUAUUUAAAAUAACAAAAUAUUGGUUGCAGGGAAAAUGGUCCAAUGAACGGUUCAAUAUGAAUACGCUUAUUGUUACACCCCUAAUACCUACACAACUAAUUUGAGAGAUGUAAAUAGAAAUAAAAU